GGAGGGGAACACCCAUAAGGAAGGGGAGAGGGGAGAGGGAUGUUUGCCCGGAAACCGGGAAAGGGAAUAACACUCGAAAUGUAUAUAAGAAAUACUCAAGUUAAUAAAAAAAAAAGAAAGAAAGAAAGAAAGAAAGAAACAAAGAAACAAAGAAACAAAGAAACAAAGAAAGAAAGAAACAAACAAAGGCCAAGAAAAGAGUGUGUUCCAGUAAGGAGCACAGUCUCUGGUGGCAGUAGAGACAGGAGUCCAGGUGUCCACAGUAGACCUUGUAUGGCAUAGGGAGCUAUGGGGUGAGAGAGGAUAGGGCACAGGGUAGAGGUUGAUCUAGACUGAUACAGGGACAGCAGCAGCUAUGAGAUGCUUGACAGAUGACCUGGGCCUCCCUAUUCAUUUGUCAGGUAAGAUGAUAGUCCAGAGAAUGGCCUGUUUCAUAGGCAGUGGUUGCUAAACCCCUUCUCCCAUAUCCCCAGUAUCCAGGUCCCCAAGAGUCAUAACACUGUCUCCUACAGCACUCUACCUCCUAGGAAGUGCCUCCCACUUGCCCUAGGUUCUCUCAAUGUGUGAUGCUUCGGUCCUAAGUCCACAUCAUCACCCUGGGCUCCAGGAGCCACAGGGACAAGCUAUGUGCACCCCCUGUACCUGCUCCUGCCCCAUAGUUGCCAUACUAGUUUCUACGGAUACAUUCUCUCCCUGUGAAGCCUGCCCACUAACAGUUCUCUUGCCUCCUGACUAGGUGCAGCUCAUCUCGAAGCAUCAUCUUGAAAACCUUCUCUUCCAGAAGCUUCCCCAUCUUUGCCAGGACCACUGAGAACACUGAAUGCUGACAGUCUGUCUCUCUCAGCGCUAGACUCAGAAUGCCCAGAAGCUAAGGACUCUCUACCUCACUUUCUCCCAGACAGCUCACACAGUACCCAUCACUUAGAAGGCACCCAAAUUAUCUAAUCAACGAAAAGUGAAUGAAUGAUGGCACAGGACACUAGCCUAGCUGCCUGCUUUUUACCAUCAUGCCUGUGUUUGUCAUUUCUAUGCCCCACCCUCACUGGCCUCCUGGCCUCUUGAUGUCUAGCAGAUUACUAUUGUAAUCUGGCCCAAGAGAAAAAACAGUCUGUUCCAGCCCAGACAGGGACGUGUCAAGCUUAUUACUUGUGGCAGCUGCUGAUAUCUCCUUAGCGCUUCAGGGUGGUGGGCACAGUUAAAGAGCUGUCCACAUUUAAGAGUUAGAAAUUCUCCCCUCUGGAAUUUAUUUUCUUCGUAAGUGGGAAUAUACCUGAAAGUUGAUAAUUUUUUGCAUGAAUUUUUGAUAAGGUUCUGAAGCUUGGCUCUCUGGGAAAGUAUACAAAGUCACCAGACUCCACAAAGGCAAAAUCCUCUACAAGGUAUCUUAUGCAAAGGCUCUGUGGUGUGAAACAACAUAUUCCCCAUCCCAAAAGCAAGAAGAUCCUGGGAUGCUCGAGAAUGGUACAUAUUGACCCUGGGAUGCUCGUGAAUGGUACAUAUUGAUCCUGGGAUGCUCGUGAAUGGUACAUAUUGACCCUGGGGUGCUCGUGAAUGGUACACAUUGACCCUGGGAUGCUCGUGAAUGGUACAUAUUGACCCUGGGAUGCUCAUGAAUGGUACAUAUUGACCCUGGGAUGCUCGUGAAUGGUACAUAUUGACCCUGGGAUGCUCGUGAAUGGUACAUAUUGACCCUGGGAUGCUCGUGAAUGGUACAUAUUGACCCUGGGAUGCUCGUGAAUGGUACAUAUUGAUCCUGGGGUGCUCAUGGGUAUGAGUAUCUAUUGAAGAGUUACUAUGUCUCAGGCUGUCAGGGGCAUUUGAUGUAAAUGGUCAGGUGGGUCCCUGCCCUUCACAGAACUAAUAUUCUAGAAUAAAAUGUAUAAUUGUGAAGUUCAUUUGGAUUAUUCAAUGGCAACUGAAAUUAACCCAAAAUGUGGAAAGUCAGAGAUGCAAGAGAGCACAGCAUGAGCUGCCUGGCCAUACCCAAGAGUCAGAGCAGCCAGCCUCUCUGAAUCAAGAGCGAGCAGUGUAAGCUAGUGUGUGCUCACAUGUGCACUGUGUAUGUGUACGUGUACGUGUAUGUGCAUGUGCACAUGUGAAGCAUCCAUGUGCCACAACUAUAUUCUGUAUGAACACACACACGUGUGUGUGUGUGUGUGUGCGUGCGCGCGCACACGCGUGUACUUACACACAGGUAUAUAGCACAAGCACUAUGUGUAUUCUUGCAUGCAUAGACAAUGUACGUGUUUUCAAGGACAUGACAUGCCACAAGCAUAUCAUGUAUAAACACAUGUGUCUAUACAUAAGCAUAUGUAUAAACAUGUGUAUACCUGUGCCUGUGGUUUGCAAGUGCACAUGCAUGCGAGGUGUCCCAGUACAUGACUGUCUCAUGUAGACAGACUCAGACUCAUUGUCUCAACUCCUCAGCCUUCCAACCUCAGCCACCGCAAGAAGUCAGCCAAAAAGCAGACCUCAUGGUUUCUCCGCACAGAGCAGUAUUAUCAAACCUCUCUAGCUCAUAGAUCUUUUCAGUGGGGACAGAGAUAAGUAAGCUUCCCUGGGUUACCCAUGUGAUAGUUAUCCUGCCAGAUGUGAUGAUGAGUCCCCACUUUCUUCUCCUCCAAACUAGUGAGUGUCUAUGUUUAUUGCCCCGUUUUACAGAAGAAACAGAGGGUAGGGUGGGGGACACUCUUUGAGAGUUGCAGCUGUACAUUCCCCAAGCAUGUGCUCUGAUUCACUGAAGUAUUUCCCAUUACUCGUGCAAGGGACAGGGCAGGGACCCCUCCUUACUUACUACUCCAGCCACACCCAUAGAGUGGCACUCACUGAAAAGAAUCCUGGGCAGUGCCAGCCCGGGUCAGCUGUGGACUCACUGUGUGGCGCUGGGAAAGUCCCCAGUGUUUUUGUUGCCCUGGAAAGUUUCCCAGUCUCUGCCUUUCUGCACGGACAGGCUAGCUCCACCACUCACAGGCUGCAGACAGCUUACGUAAUCAUGCAAAAGUGGUCUCUCUUCCUCUCUAAAAUGAAGUGCACAGUGGCUCACUCCCAACCACUGCAGAGGGAUUAACUGAGUUCUUGACCUCCUGGUGCACGCUCCCAUGCACAUGGCUAUCACUGAGUCAGCUGGGGGAGCAUUGAUUGACAGCAUGCCCAUGCCUGCCUGCCUGCCUUCAACACCAGGGUGACCUUGGCUGAGGUCCACUUAGCUGUCAAACCCCACUCCCUUGUAAAAUGGGAAUUAAAAGCAUGCCUACUUUUUACAUCUGUUUGAAGAGUAAGUAAGAACGCGCUCUACGCACUCUACCACUAUUUCUAUAUAGUGGGCAAAGUUAUAAACUAAGAUUGGCAUAUAGUUUUAGGGGAAAGUUCAGAGUUUUAGAGGAAAAUAUUGAGUCUGAACAAGGUUACUAGAUAUAGAAAUACUUGUAAGUUUCUAUUCUUUAAAAAUAUAGUCAAAGGAAAAUGAAACCACCCGACCUAGCUCCUGGUCAGUGGAAGUCAGCACCCUUGGCUCUAAGGCCAUCAGUUGAGCAAGUUUAUUCUGGUUUUGGCCCACAGUUUGGCUAGGUUCAUGGCCAUGAUCAUGAAUAAGUGAUUCAUUCUUACCAAAAACUAUAAUCAUGGUCACAUUCUAAAUAUUUGUACUACAGGAAUUCAAACCUACCUGACCUUCAGGGGUCACAAGUGCCACCACCACUCUGUAAGUAGCUUGUUCAUUCCUCUACCUUGAUUCUUGACCAUCUACAUCCUGCUAGAUACCUGGCCUGGCCAUGCUGGUGCUGAGGGAUGAAAUGAGUUUGUGGGCAGCUACGACUCAUUUAGAAGAUACACCACUCAACGCCUUGGGGUGGCAGAUACUCUUUCCCCCUGCAGACUCCUGAAGAGCAGAAGGCAAACAACACUCUUGGUAUAUCGUCUAGGGCACUGUGUCCUUACUAAGAAGGCCCUGGGUGUCAUCUCAGGCAGAAUGCAUUUUAUAGUUGAGCCACAGAAGUCACUGAGGUCACAAAACCCACUCAUCUAUCACUGUCUUGACUCAAAAGUCAAUGCCUGUAUGCUAAGUCCAUUCCUAUUUCCUCCAUGACAGAGGAUUCCAUCCACCCCAUUCCAGCCCACAUAACAGGAGGACCAAGAGGGUAGGCUCAACGUCUGUCAGCUUUCAAGUGAUUACUUAUGUCAGGAGUGUUUAGUGUCAGUACCCCAUUUAAUAUUCUAAGACAACCUUAGCAUAUAGAUCUUCAUUAUCCCAUGUAACAGAAGAGAAUAGCAAUGCUCAGAGAGGGAAAAGAAUUUUCCCGAGGUAACACAGCUAGAAGCAGCAAACCAUGGCAGAAUUUAACCCUGCCUGACCUCAAGCCCAGGCCAUGCGUUCUCCAGGCAAUUUCCUCCCAUCAGGAUAGAAAACACUGGUGAUCAGUCAUCCUGAGUGGCCGGGAUCCAAUACCUGAACCCUAGAGGGAGGAAGCAGGUGGUUACCAAGGAGCUGUGAAACUUAGUGCUAGAACGAGUGCCCAGUAAGGUAAGCUCAAGAAAGAAGAGGGUGGAUAAGGGAGGGGAGCUCCCAUUGUUGGCCCAAGUCUGUGCCAGUGUAGUGCCAUGGAACAUGAAACAAACCAUUCUCUCUGUUAGGAAACACCAAGUUGCUACUGAGCCCAGGGCCUGGGAAUCCAGAAAUCCCAGGAUUAUGUCAUGGCUCUGCAUCGUAAAAGAAUGAUUUCUCAUGGGAACUGCACAGAGAAAGCACCAAUUUCCUCCCACAGAGAAGGAGCAAAGUUGUGCCUUCCCUUGCACCACCAUAGGAACUGGAUUAAUUAAUACAGAAAAGAGUUUUUCUGUUGUGUACUAUCCUGGAACUCACUCUAGACUAGGCUAGCCUUAAAGUCAGAGAUCUGCUGUCUCUCCCUCCUGAUUGCUGGGAUUAAAGGCAUGCACUGUUACCAUCUGACUAUACACAAUUUGUCUUUAAAUUGUACAAACAACAGGUAAAAGAAGGCUGAACGGUAGAAUUAAAACAGAAUACCUAACGUAAAGAGGCUUUUUGUUCUGUUUUCUUUUGUUUUAUUCAGACAAGCUUCUUGUUAUAUAGCACAGAUUAGCCUUGACCUCAUAAAUCCUCCUGCCUCAGCCUCCAAAAUACUGGGGUUACAGGUCUAUAGCACCAUUCCCAGUCCCGAAAUGACAUUAAUAAACUGUAUUCAUUUCUGCCAUGUGAAUGGAAAUGAUUCAAGGCUGGAUCAUAUCGCCAGGAGCCUUUCUUUCUUUCUCCCACCAUUUUUGACAUAUUACCAAUGUCUCCCCUUGUAUCCCAAGAAGGCUGCGGCAGUUUCACACACCACAUCCUAACAAACUUAUACCCAGAGCCAGAAAGGAGGAAACGGAGAAAUCCUUACACCUAAAUUGUUAUCUUAUAAAGGAAGAAAAUACCUCCCAGACGCCUCUAAGAAAGCUCCUUUUCUGUCAAUAGCCAGAGCAGACUCGUGGGACCACCUCCAGCUACUGUGAAAGGGAAGACUAGAAAAGCAGGGUUCGGGCAUUCUCCAUCACAACCUAAAGUUGGACUCCUUGGCAGGGAAGGCAGAGAAAAAGGAGAGGGUGGAUGGGCAGCCCCAGGCUGCCAGAUCAUCCUGAGGAGAAAAUGUGAGGGAAGUGCAGAAGUACAAUGAAGAGAGGCAAAACACCAGUUGCAGACAGCAUUCCCAUGAGGCACAAAAGGAAUUAGCCAGUGCCUGCAGGUCGGGCCUAAGUCAGAAAAGCAGAAGACAAUAAUCUCAAGGAGCCCAGAUCUUAUCCAUGGCUGUGGUAGACAGGCUAGAGGGGAAUAUUCAAUAGCCCAUGGUCCUGACCAGUAACGAUGACAUUUUGUGACCUGCUGACAACUCAAGGUUUAGAGAGCCAGGAUUGCCAACGUUCCCCUCUCAUUUUGAAGCUAUUUUAAUUGAUGACAGAGGUAGAGGAAAAUGUUUGUUUAGAAAAUGCCUUAAUGUGGCUGGGUAUGGUAGCACAAACCUAUAAUCCCAGCAUUUGGGAGGCAGAGGCAAGAGGAUCAUGAAUUUGAGACCCUGACAGAAAAGAAACAGAAAAAGAAAGGUCAAGGGGGAGAGAAGGAGUUGGGGAGAGAGUGUCAAGUCAGGCUGCUUGGCAGUGAGGGGUUAUCUUUCUAGUCAUACUAAAGAGAGAGAGAGAGAGAGAGAGAGAGAGAAUACAUGAGUGUGAGUGAGUAUGAGUAUGUGUGAGAUUGUGAGUCUGAACAUGUGUGUAUGAGUGUUUGAGAGUGAGUGUGUGUGAGUGUGUGUGCGCUUGUGAGUGUGUGUAUGGACAUGGGUGUGGCGCUUAGAAGAGCAUCUCAAGUGUUGUUCCUUAGUAGGAACUCAGUGUGUGAGUGUGUGUGAGUCUACUGUCCACCACCUUAUUUUCAAGACAGACUCUCAGUAACCAGGAACUUGCCAACAAGGCUAGGCAGCUGGUCAGUAGACCCCUCAGAGAUCCCUGUGUCACCCCUUCCCCAAUACACAGGAUAACAAGCACAUGCCACCACAUGCCCAGCUUUUCAUGUGGUUCUAAAAAAAUCAAACUUGGGUCCCUUUGCUUCACGGCAAGUACAUUGUGGCAAGGAAGGAGUGGGUGGGUGGGCAGCCCCCGUCUUCUAACUCAAUAAAAUCAAUAGUGUCUUUCCUUAAAGAUAGUAAAUAUGUCAGGGCAAUAGAGUAAUACUUCCUCUGUCCUACUCUCUUAGUAGACAGUGGCAGGUGAAUGGGCUGGAUUCGGCUCAGUUUUCUGCAAGCAGCUGGGGACCUGGUGUGUGGCUCUGGGUGCCAUUACAGCCCUUGUUCUAUACAGCAAAUUACAUGCAACAACAGCCUAGGCCAAGGCAUUCAUAUUCCACGCUCUAUGGCUAUUGACUGGGACUGUGAAGUGAAGGGAGCUGGGGGAGGAGGCUGUGGCAUGUGAGGAACCCAUGACUCAUGGAAAGGAGUCAGUUACAAACACCAGCGUUAGCGCCUACCAGUUUUCAUGUACAGAUGGAAUCUUCUGCUUAUUAAGAGAUGGAUGUUUAAGACUGUAAACUGGGGGCUUGUAGAAAUGGCUCAGAGUUUAAGAGCACUAACUGCUCUUCCAGAGAUUGAACCCAUCAGAGUUCAAUUCCUAGCCCCAACACGAUGGCUCCAGGGAAUCCAACAUCCUCUUGUAGCCUUCAUGGGCACUGCAUGCACAUGGUACUCAGACACUGAUGAAGACAAAGCUACCAUACACAUGACAUACAAUUCAAAUAUUUUUAAAAAUGGUUUAACUCUGGUAUAGAUCAAAUCAAAAUCAUCUAAUGGCCAGGCAUUGGACUUGGAGGCAGCCAGUCUGUGACCUCUGGCCUAGAAGCUUGUUUUUCCUCGGUGACAUGCUAGGUCAACCAAGUACACAUGAUACAUUUGAGUGGCAAGAUCCAGGAAACUUAGAUCAGGCUGCUGGUCUGAGCCUUUGCUAAUGGAAUGUCUAACUGCUCCCAAGCUGCUUUAAAUCCAGGCAUAGGAGAAGGGGCCAUUCCGCUGUGCCUAGGGUGUACUCCUGUCUCAUUCAUCUCUGCAUUUCCACAAGCAGUGGCUCGGUUACCUCAGAUGCUGGGCAGCAGCCACAGCACAAAGCUUAGCCUCAGAGAAGCGAUGAGAUCACUUAAUCGGCAACCCAUAACACCACAGAGACAACAACUUAACCAGUUUCUGGCUUCCUCAGCCCCAAACACUAAUUCAAAGGCUCCAAUACUGGGUACAGUCAUCCUGUGGGCUGUUGGUUCCAGGCCCCAUGACAUAUAAUAAAAUCUGCUGAUGCUCAAGUCUCUUAUAUAAAAUGUAGUUCUUUGCAUGUAAGCUACAUUCAUCCUUUGACAUACUUCAUGUCAUCAAAGAUGUAUUCUAAUGCCUAAUGCAGUAUAAAUGCUGGGUAGCUCUAUCAUUCAAGGCAUGACAAGAUAUAAGUGUUAGUUCAUGCUUAGAAUACACCCAACGCCAUUUCAUGUUUUCAAACUGUGUUUGAGUCCACAGAUGUGGAGCCCAUGUGUGCUGGUUAGUUUUGUCAGCUUGGCCAAGCUAAAGGCAUCUGAGAGGAGGGAAACUUAAAUCAAUGAAGCCUGCUGCAGAGCAUUUUCUUAAUUAGCGAUCAGUGGGCGAGGGCCCAGCCCAUUCUUGGUGGGGUCAUCGCUGAAGUGGGGAUCCUGGUUCUAUAAGAAAGUACGUUGAGCAAGCCAUGAAGAGCAAACCAGUAAGCAGUAACCCCUCCAUGAUCUCUGCAUCAGCUCCUGCCUCCAGGCUCCUGUCCAGUUUGAGUUCCUGUCCUGACAUCCUUUAAUAUGGAAGAAUAAGCCAAAGAAACCCUUUCCUGCCCAAGAUGCUUUAUUCAGGGUGUUUUAUCAUAGCAGUAAUAACUGACUAAGACACCAUGACAUAGAGGAGGCUGACUCUGUCUCUACAGAGAGAUCAAUAGUUCCAGCAGCAUGAAAGGCAGAGCAGGCGCAAAGCAAAAUGUCUCUGGUCAGACAUCUUCUGGCAACAAAGACUUGUAAGAUGUGUCCAGCAGCAGACACGCCUCCAAGCUGCAAACAGCUCGACACCCCCUGUCCUUGCACGUCUCUCAGCCGAUACCUUCACCUGUUGGCUGAAUUCUUCCAUUAUCCUACACAUUCUGAUAACUGACAAUACCCUGAGUUACUAAGAGUGACUAAAGCUCCUGUCUGGGCUCUCUGUGGUUCUAUGUCUGCCCUGCUGGUUGCCUAGCUGCUUAGCUAUAAAAAUGAGGGCCUGCCUCUUUUAUUCUCCAUAAAUACGCUUGCCUGACCCUCCACACUCUUUUCUCUCCCUCUCCCUAUCUUGUGUUUUGAGGCAGAGUCUAGCUUUGUCACCCAGGCUGGGCUUGAGCUCUGACCUUCCUCCUUCAGUAUCCAGAGAGUUAGGAUUUAUAGGUGUGUGCCCACACCGGUAUAGGACAACAUCUAAUCUUUCACUCUGAAACUAGACAGUGAAAUACUUCCCAAACCUGUCACGUAGUCUCGUUUGGUGCAUAGACUUCUGGGGCUGCCUCCCAAAACUCCCCAAAAUGCACAGAGACAUCUACCUCACCAUUCAAGUUCAAGUUUUUCCCAUGUGGUCUCAAGAUUUCCCCUAGAGAUUGUCUUAUGGUAGCAAUCAGCCCAGGCAGGUGAGGACAGUAUAUGGGGAGAGGUGUUUAGCUUGGAUACAGGGACAUGCCUUAUUAGCAUGGCUUAGUUUGAACCAGUUCUGUGCCCUGCUGUAGACACAGCCAACAGAUAGCAGAUGGUGCGUGCUAGAAAGCUAGAAAAUAAUUGAUCAGAUAAUCUAGAACCCUCGGGAUCAGAAAUUCCUGAAAUGAAGCCCAGAGGCUCCUAUACUACACACAUGGUCAAAAUUCGUAGGCCUUGGAGUUGGACAUGUGAAACUGGCAGGGCGUCAUGCAAAGACUAGCUAAAAGGCAGUUUACUGUGAUGGAGAAAGUCACAUGGGACCACUCAUAAAUGAGAAGAGAAGGCUCAGUGCACACUGAAAGCUGAUUGCUGCAGAAGCUGCCGAGAGUCUGGCCAGGACGCCAGAAUGACAGUCACUAUGUUCUAGGACUUUAUUCAGCUCUUGCUUGAGAAGCUGAAGAUUCUCUAACACAAGGAGAAGAAUUCUAACUGCACCUUCACUUGCAUUCUCUGGGUGGAGAAAGUUUCAGGCACCAUAGUGGAAAGAGAUGGAAUCCUGGUUGGCCAUGCCAGCAAAGCAUGGACUAAGCAUGGACUAAAUCAGAGACCAUGAAGAGAAUGGUUUCCUGGGACCCUGACUAACAGAUGUCUAUUGUACAACUGCCAUUGGUCUGCCUAGAGGACUGACAAUAUCCAACAUCAAGGUCUUGGGAUAAUGGCAGACAAAGGAAGCCCUUUGUAAGCAAUGGUGGUUUUUUACCAUAGCCUCUGCUUCUUCACAGAGAAAGAGCCCCUCUAGAACACGCCUGCAGAAGCAAUUGCCUCUGAGACUGUUUCCUGUGGAAUCAAUGCCUGGAAUGGGGACAACAUCCGCUGGGAGAUUCAGGGAAUUUUACUAGUCCUCUGUGAACUUCUGCCAUCAGGAGUCCAGCAGCAAAUACCCGAGGCCAAGCUGAUUCCACAAAGGAUAUUGCACAAUAUCAAUUCACUCCUCCAUACCAGUAGAGAUAAUCUCUCAUGCACUGUGUAAAAGCAUUCACCUGUCCUUAAAAAGUUAUUCACCAAUGAGUUUGAGGAAGGAUUAGAAGGCAGGACAUCCGGCAGAGAGAAAAGAAUUCUGGAUUUAAGUCAGGUGUGGGAAUAUUCAUCUAGACACAGAGGAAGAUGGUUGAAUAAAACUGAGAACCAGGUAACCAGCCAGGUGGCAUGACUUAGACUAGUUUAAACAGGAUAAUUGAGUUACGAGUUAGCAGAAAUGAGCCAAAGCUAUUGGCCUAGGCAUUUAUUCCUAUAUAAGAAGUCUCAGAGUUGUUGUGUCAGGGAACUUAUGUGCAGGCGGGAAAACCCAUGGCUACCUAUACCAACAUCUUUAGUGCUGUCCUCUCUAACCCUAGCAGACUGAGUAAUUUUACGUCCUGACACUUGCACUCACUCAGACCUUUUAUUCAGGAGAGGGAUCCGGGGUGCCUCAGUCUCACUUUAUCUACUCUUCAUAUUCUACUAGGUCCAGAUCAAUGUCCCUAAACCCUCAUGCCAAACUCCAGACCACGUCUCAAAGAGGGCACAGGAAGGGACGCACACUUCAUCACCCCCAGUUGGUGGCAUCUUCACUACUCUGAAAAGUCGGGAUCUAAAGGCAUGUGUGUUUCACUCGAGGUACAUUCAAACCUCUGAAACAAUGAUGCAGGAAGGCCACUAGAAAGUUGAUCGACAGCUGUCCCCCCAGUCAACUCCACCAUCCCUUAAAGAACAUCCCUAGAUUGAUGGAGAACAAAUCUAACACUGGGUCUCCACCCUCUUUUCUACCUCCAUUUUUAUAUCAUAGCUUAAGAGCAUUCUUCCACUUGGACACUUCUAGCCCCUCCCUAUAAAGCAGUCACUUUGGUCACAUGAUCAUCUCAUAUACUGAGACGCACCGUGAGCCAGUUAUUAGCUUAAAUAAUAGAACGUCUGCUUUCAAUAGUUGUCUUGAUUCGUCACUGCAGUGGGCCUAUCACACUUCUCUUUUAUAAUAACUAUGUAUGCUGCCAAGUCACUGAACACUGGAAAGCCUGUCUCUGUGUUGCACGGGGUUCAGCUUCCAAUUCAUAUUUCCUGGGAUUACACUUUGUCCUCAGAAAGGUUAACUAGUUGGUUUUAAAGUCCCCAGUGUAUGUGGUGUUUAUUUGUAGAGAUGCUAUAAGCAUGUGUGAGAUGUUUAAAUUCUGGGCAUAGAGCAAAGUAUCAUUUGGCCUGGCUAGGGUUAUAUGUCUCAGAUUUUAAUACUUUCCACUUUGUUUUCAGCAUUUGGGGAAGCAGCUAAAUGUCCUGUUCUUUCCUUCCAUGGAAAUACUGAAAGUUAGCUCUUCUUAUCCACUGCUUCUGUAUCCUCCCACCUCCCCUAAAAAGAUUAACAAUGGACAACAGCCAGGACAGAAAAGGAGGCAGAGGCCUUAAGGAAAAAAUGCUCACAAGCCUCCUUCCCUUAACCAAAGUCAAGGCUGGUCCUGAAACAUGAGGUGAAGUGAUGAGAAACCCAGUUUCUACCAACUCUGGCAUCAGCUCUCUCCAUUACAACUAGAAGUCAGAGCCAACCAGGGCCAGUGAAGAGAGGAGAGAGAACACAGCUGCAUCUCCCUGAGAGUCAGUGACACUCCAAGCUGAGGAGACCGAGGGGCUCCUCAGAGGCUCCCAAGCCAGGAAAGCUCAACAGACCAUUGUCCCUGGGAAAUCUUUCCAUCAAGGAGGCUCCCUGAAGGGCCAGCUGUUUGGCUCUGCUUAGACUGUCACCCAGCCAAGGCAGCUUGGUGGCACGCCCAAACUCUAUAGCCCGCGCCAAAAUUUGUUUAAACAUUUGAACCCAGCAGCCAGUCAAUUUAAAAAUACUCCAAGCACAAAGCCAAUAAGAUUUGAAAAAAAACUGACAAUCAAACGGUGAGUGCAGUCAUUGAUUUGCUCAUCUUCCUGUAAUCCAAAGCUCGCCUUUUCCCAGAGAGGGAACGUUAUUGUCUUAAAAGAAAAAAAGGUGUGUUUUCUAAAUUUCUGUAUCAUGAAAACUCCAUUUAGGAUGGUCUUCCAAACAACUUGUAUGUCUAUGUGAGACAUGUGUGCAGCAAAACAACUGAGAAACUGAAUCUUGGAGAGCUUAGAUAUUUGCCAGGGUCACACAAUAGUAAACGGCAGCACAGGACUGCCAAUGAGUUCUCUAAUGUGUGUGCUUGUGUGUGUGUGUGAUAUGUGUGAAUAUGUUAUGUGUGUGAUGUCUCUGUGUGUGUGUGAGUGUGUGUGUGAUGUGUGUGUUGUGUGCAUGUGUGAGUGUGUUACAUUUGUGUGUAGUGUGUGUGUAAUACGUGUGAGUGUGUGUGGUGUGUGUAUGAGUGUGUGAUGUGUGUAUGUGUGAGUGUGUGUGUGAUGUGUGUAUGUAUGUGUGAGUGUGUUACAUUUGUGUGAGAGUGCAAUGGUGUGAGUUUGUGAGUAUGAGUGUGUGAUAUGUGUGAGUGUGUGUUAUGUGUGUGUGAGUGUGUGUAUGGUGUGAGUGUGAGAGAGUGUAUGUGCUGUGUGUGUGUGAAUGUGUGUGAAUGUGUGUGUAUGUGAUGUGUGUGAGUGUGUGUAUGUGUAUGUAUGUUACAUUUGUGUGAGUAUGUAUGGUGUGAGUGUGUAUGAGUGUAUGAUAUGUGUGUUUGUGUUAUGUGUGUGAACAUGUGUAUGGUGUGAGUGUGAGAGUGUGUAUGUGGUGUGUGUAUGGUGUGAGUGUGUAUGUGGUGUGUGUAUGGUGUGAGUGUGAGAGUGUGUAUGUGGUGUGUGUGUGUGUGUGUGUGUGUGUGUACCUGAGUGUACUGAGUGUAAGAACAAAAGUUUUUCUUUGCCUCUCCCUCAUAAAAAAGUAUGUUCCACUGAGUCAUGCAUUAACACCAUCAAAAUCGUGGGUUGAGCUCCAAGUAGGCCACUCAUUACACUCAUUUCAAAUGUCAGGUUUAUGUUACAGACAACUUGGUGAUAGCCAAGGAGUGCUGUGGACUCAGAUAAGGACACUUGUCCUUCCAAGUGUUCACAACUAGGAGGGUGCACAGAGGUCACUUGGCCUUGCUUUUGUGAAAGCCCAUCCAUCCUUGGAUUCUACCCCCACUAUUGUUGUCACAUGCUAAUAGCAUAUUCCUGUAUUCCUUUAAAUGUUCUUGUCCACAUAAACGCACUUGUUAUAUGAGAAAACCUUCCAUGACUCCCAUAACUGAAAUCACUGCUCAUAAGUAAAAGGCAACCAUGAAGAGAAAUACUGUAGCACAGAAACAAAGCAGGUCACAUUCUCUUUGCCUAGAUGCCUGCAGCUCCAGGAAACUUUGAAAACAAAGAUUAUUGUUACUUUGUAACAAGAGUGAUGGGCGCUAGCUCAGUUAAUUAAGUGCUUGCUAAACACAAGUAUGAGGAACUGAAUUUGAAUCCCUAGCACCCAUAUAGAGAGCCAAGUGUGAACAUACACACCUAUAACACUAGUGUCAAGGACAAGGAGACAGGAGGAGCCCUAAAGUUUGAAAGCCAUACCGUCUAAUAGGCAACCCCCGGAUCUAAUAAAGGGCCUUGUCUCAAAGGGCAGAGGGGUGGUGAUCAAGAAAGACAUCUGACAUCAAGCUGUGGUCUCCACACCAAAAACAUCCUCCAACACAUAAGGUGGUGAGACUGCAUCAGCUCUGUACAGGUUGUCUCCUAAAUUGGGAGCAUAGAAGAAAUAAGUCAGCAGGUGUAACCUUCUACAGCAUGAUUCAGUGUUUCCAAUACAUACCAAACAUCAUGAGGCUGAAGCCACCAUGCUCUUGUUCAAAUCCCCACAUUAUACAAAAGCUGCUGGAGCCCAGAGGCACACAGCGCUGGACCGAUGCCAUAUGUCAAUGUGAACAGCAGUUUAAAAAAAAAGCAAUUUUUAGUGUUUCUAGACCAACACAUCCUGCUACAGAUGACUGCAGAUCACCCAAAUAACAUCUGAAUAAAAUGUUGGCUUGUCCUUCUCUUUACCAUGAUUAAAAAAAAAAACUAGUUUUGACCUGUUUUACUUUCCAAUAGGUGCCAUAAUCCAGACUGGCAGAGGUAAGGGUGCUUCUGGGUAAUAAGGAAGGGAAAUGUUCAUUUCUUCUUGCUAUCUACUCAUGUGCCCUGGGCCAUAGUAGCCCACUGAGAUGCUUAAGCAAAGUACAGCUCGUAGAGGCUUAACCCUCACUGUAAGCAGGAUGCCCUGAUAACUUGCUACAGUAGAGUGGGGGCUCAGACUAGUGGUUCCCUGAAAUCCCUCACAUGUGUAGUAAGCUCAGCAUCUCCACCAUCAGUGGUCUAUGUCUCUAAACCUAGCUUGGUGGAUAAUGCAGGGACAUCCUCUCCUACCUAUCAGGGUCUCCUACAGUUUGCCUGCCCUAAUGUACCUCAGUCAUGGUUUCCAGGGAAACAAAUGGAUGUCAGGGUGCAUACAGUCCCCAGACUGAAAAGAUAGCAAUGCCCUGGUGAGCUGUUCAACUCCCCUGGGAAUAGCUGAGUCGAGUUUUCUGUGCUCCUCUCCCAGGUCAAGGCAAGGGAACAAAUGAGGCCAUAAGUGAAACCUGGCCACUCUUAUCGCUUUCCUCUGGAGUUGGUAUGAGAGAAUCGCAGGGCUCUUUAGAGAGGCUAAAAUCCACACUGCCUAGGGGUGACUCCAGUUCAGCUUCUCCCAAGCUCCAAGUAGGAUGGCUGCUUGGCCUCCCAGGCUAGGCUGCACUGCCCUAACUUACUUGAGUGGUAGGAUAGCCUUGCACACUCCUAGGCUGGUGCCCACAAACACCCAUGAGCAGAGAGAAGGGGCUCUUGUUCUCAAUGUGGAACAAGCAAUACUUCCUCCCAUGCAGCUGGCGUUUCCUCAAAUAGAACAGGAUUUGAGCAAACGGCUUUCACUGGCCCUGAGCUGGCAAGAAAAGCUGAGUGUGGCUCAAGGUUUCAUUAGAGUUGAUGACUCAGACCCUCACUCUCGCUUCCCCAUCCUUUGUGGCUCCAACUCUUUCCCAGUUGUCAUGCUCAACUGUCAGAUUCCCUCUGCCAGGACCUGUUUUGCCAAUGUCGGAUGUCCUAGCUGCUCAACCUCCCUUUGGAAGGGCCACACCCCUGUCCUCCUUUCCUCUUAGGUCACCUACACUCUGCUCCAGAUUCUAUUUUGAAAUUGAUUAGGUCUUGAUCAACAACACAGGCUUAUUUCCAGAACACCCCCUGUCUGCCUCUGCCUUCAUUUGGGCGAGAUGAAAAUUGAUGUUGGCCUGAACCAGAGGCAGGGCAUCUUCUGACAUUGUUUGCAGCUUUGGGGGCUGAUGCUAAGUUGCUCUCAGAAUCAGUUGGAGGAAAGUGAGUUCCGAGUGCUGAUUCAGCAAAGAUUCCUGAGAGGCACUGAACGCAACAGGCUCUACUCCCCAAAUCUCCAUCUCUACCACCAGCAACUCUUUAAAAAAACAUUUAUUAACUAUUUGUCUGUGUGCAUACACAUACACGCAAGCCAGAGAACUUACGUUGAGGUCAAAGAACAAGUUGGGGAAGUCCAUUUCCUCUUUCCACCCUCUGAGUCCCAGGGACCAAUUCAGGUCACUAGUCUUGGCAGCAAGCACUUUGCAUACUGAGAUGUCUUGCCAGUGUUCUCUGGUCAUCUUUUAGAAAGCCAGGAACUGUACUUGGGCUGCGGAUACAGAGAGCUCAAUUCACCCCAGGAUGGAAAGGACCACAACAGAGUUGUUUUUAGGGGACUGACAGAAUCUCAGAGAGGACCACGAAAUAAAACUCAUUAAAGGCUGUAUCCAUUGUUUCUAAUAAGGAUCCAGACGCUGACUGAAUCUGUCCCUGGGAUUUCGAGAACUUUCCAGAAAGUCAAAAUCCAAUUUGAAGCUGAAGUGAUCAAGAAGUAUUUUAUGUACUCUCUAUGUAUAAAUUCAGUGGCCAUGGUCACUACCAUGUCAUCAAGGCCAGCCACAGACGUAGGCACCUUCUGGAGAAGCCAUGACCAAAUUGGAAUGUGCAGUGUGGUCUUGGCAAUUAAACCUAAGGAGUCAUGACUGUUGUCAGAACAGAUAGGCUAGAUGAGCUCACAAUCCAGAAAGCAAAGGUUAGGUACCAAAAGGCAUGUCUGAGUCUCAGCCUCUGAGGAAGGGGAUGCUCUGACAAGUAACCAGCUCCAGGUACAGAAAUGUAGCCACCAGGGUAAACUUGUCAACUUCCGAGGGAACUUUGUUCAUCGACUCCACCCAUACUCAGUUAGUGUCAAGAAGUGUAAUUACCAACCUUCUCUGAGCCACCUCCUGACUUCCACAGACCUGGUAGAAAGAACCCCAGAUUUUAAGAAUGAAACUGGAUGCCAAUCCUGAAAACGAGCUACCAAGUGUGCUCUGGAAUCUGUGCUAAGGAGAUUCUGUACCUGCUCUGUGCCAAGUACAGGAUACCAGUGUCCCGCACUGCCUGAGCAGUCUCUGAAGAGAAGCCACUCCCUUUUUAUAGAUAAGGGUGAAAGUCCUCAUGCCCACCAGGAGAGACACAACUCAAAUGUAAGCUAAGUCCUGCCCACCUGUCCUCAAAAUGUGAGUAAACCACUAACAACAGGGUAGCCAUGGUGAUCAAAUCAGCAAGUGGGUCAAUGUCAUGCCAAGGUUCAGCAUCUCAGACCAGCAGUGUUCAUGACACCUUAAGGCUUGUUAGGCAGGCAGAGUUUAGAGUCCCAUUCCAAACAAUUGAAUCAGAAUGUGUGUUUAUUCUCAAGUGAUGUGCAUUCUUAUUAAACUGCUGAGAUCCUCAAGGGUAGGAGUCUAAUACUAUGGGAGCAUAGGUUACUGCAUGGGCACCUGCCUCCUUAUCGUCUUCUUCAUUGGGUUAGCAAGAGUUCAUCACUCUAAUCACUUUGAGGCCAGUCCUUCUCAACCUAAAUAAAUACAGAUCAACUGAGGGUUUUAACAGAGUACAGAUUCUUAACGGAGGACCCCGAGUAGCCUCCAAAAUCUGUACUCUUGAUACAUUUCCAGAUGCUGAAGUGGGGCAUGGAUCAUGCUCUCUAUGACUGACUGAAUGAGAAUAAUAUGCAAAGUGAAAAUGAGAUUGUCUUAGUCAAUGUUCCACUGCUGUGGAGAGACACCAUGAUGAAGGCAGCUCUUACAAAGGCUAACAUAUAAUUGGGGCUGGCUUACAGAUUCAGAAGUUUGGUCCGUUAUCAUGGUGGGAAGCAUGGCGGUGUGCAGGCAGAUGUGGGGCUGGAGGAGUUGAAAGUUCUACAUCUUGAUCCAAAGGUAGCAGCAGGAGAUUGGCUUCUGCAGGCAACUAGCAUAAGGGACUCUUCCACACUGGGUGGAGCUCGACCAUGGGAUCUCAAAGCCCACUCCCACAGUGACACAUUUCCUCCAACACCCCAACAAAGGCACACCUCUUAAUAGUGCCAUUUCCCAUGGGCCAAGCAUAGUCAAACCACCACAGAGACCUUGUACUUAGGCUGCACUUAGGGGACCAACACCUCUAACAGGCCACAUCAGGGAGCAGUGGCUGCAAUAAAGGACAGCACCUCUAUUAGGACACAUAAGGUCAGAGGCAUGUUUGACCUCUUUUGGUCUUAGCACCUUGCUGUCUAUCCUAGUUGGAUGAGUCAAUUCCAGUCAGGGCUUCCUUUCCCUUGCCUAAUAGUGGCUAGCCCAGUGGCUUCUAGACACAAAACCCCCUUCAGCGCACACAAGACCCUCAGAGUCCUACUUACCUGCUCUUUCCUAUCCAGCACCUUUCCCAUUUCUUGAACACUGAGCCUGCCUCAGAGUCCUGGUGCCUGCUCUGCACCCAACCUGGAAUGCUCUAUCUCUUGCUUUUACACAGCUGGGUUCACCUUGCCCUUCAUAGCUUAGCUCAGAUUUCACCUCCUCAGCUGGCUGCCCCUUGACUGACCUGGCUAACCUGGCACAUCCAUACCCCACCCAAAACUACCAUGCGGCCCUUUCUUUCGUAGUCACAGCCAUUAUUAAUUAAGUAUUUAAUUAAAUAAUUAAAUAAUUAAAAUAUGUUUAAUCAUGUGCCAUUCCUACAGUCCACCCUCUGAUUCUUUAUGGAAGCAUUGGCGUCAUCUACUAGCCCUGGUACACAGUAGGUGCUCAGUAAAUAGCCAUGAAGGAAUGAAGGGUUUCACAUAUUUGCAUCUGGUGCAGAAACUAGGGGGAGGAGAAACUGAGUACCUUGGAAAGGAAGAAGAGAGUGUCAUAGAUGUGGAGGGAAAUGGUGCUAAGCUCACUCUAAAGAGUGGAAAGGAUUUUCCAGCAGUGGUAGUCAGACAACUGCCGGGAACAAAAAGGGCAAUGUGGGCAGGCCUAAAAGCUCGUGAGUAGUGCACACAGCUACUCUGUGGAGACUGUCUCGCCAGUCCCUGCCUCACCCUGGCCUCUGGGCAGGACAGCCCAUCUUUAGGUGUAGCAGGCUGGCAGGAAGACUCCUGCCGCUCAGUAGGAUGAGGUCAUUGCCUUUCUCAGGCAGACUUUUGUCACACUUUUUCACCCCAGAGGUGACCAGCCUUCUGAGGUCAGGCAAGAGACACCAGGAGGAGACGUGCAGAUCUAGAACCUUCCACCAGUGUUUGUCCAAAGUCAUAUAACCAACCAGAGCAACUCACAAACACAGAGUCUCACAGACCUUCUAAGCAUACUUACUUCCACUGCCCAACCCAGGCAGGCGACGAAAAGUAAUUAGAGUCCAAAUAAAAGUGGUGUUUUACACUGGGAAGCACUGAGGUGGACAAUGGGUCAUUUACCAUGUGCUCAGGGAAGGAGGUCAUUUACUCUUACCCCAGUCCUGGCCCCUAUCCUCAGGGAUUAGGCUGACAUAUGUGUUUUGAACGCCAGUACAUUAAGGGAACUGGAUGGCUUCGUGUGAUUCUAAGGCUCCCUGGAACCAUUUUAAUGGUGAUUUUAAAGUUCUCUCUAGAUAAUCCAAAGCGUCAAGUCAACUCAGGCCAAAGUUAAAAUAGCGACGAGUAAAUCCGUAAUAAUAAUUAAUAAUAAUAUUUGUCAACUAUGUAAUGGGCAAUCAUUAAUGAAGAGUCCCUUUGAGAGAACACACUGCUCACUUUGUCCAUGGUCCGGUUGGCUCCUGAGGAUCCCAGCCAGGAGGAAGCAGGUGGAGUAGGCUCUUCCUCCUCUUCAAACUCCUCUACUACAUCACCUCGGAAAACUUCGCAGCUAUAAAAACUAAUUAUGGGCUGGCAAAAUGGCUCACUGAAUGAAGGUGCUUGCCACAAAACCUGACAACCUGAGUUCAAUUCUCAGGACCCACAUGGUGGGAAUAAAGAACAAAUUCCUACAAGUUGCUCUCGGGUGUCCAUAGACAUACCAUUAGCAUGCGAGUACCCUCUUUCUACACACACACACACACACACACAAAUGUAAUAAAAAUAAUUUUUAAACGAAUAAGGAUACUCCGUCUACUCAUCAGAAAAAAGUUUAUUUUUCCAUUUAAAGUCUGUUUUACUCAACAGGUUACAAAGAAGAUAGAGAACUGACAGGAUGGUUCAGUGGGUAGAGGCACUUCCUGCCAAGCCUGAGGAACUGGGUGUCAUCCAGUAAUGAAUAAAGUGGAACUGACUCCUGCAAGUUGUCUUCUGGCCUCCAUACAAACACAGUGACAUGUUCACUCACUCACAGACAUACGAAUAAACAAAUGCUAAAAAAAAAAAAAAGAUUAAAAACAGAAUAGACAGGAUUCUGUACUGUCAAAACAGUGGGAGAAUAUGCCAUAAGUAGUUUGUACAUGUAGAAAUUCCCCAGGAAGAAUGCACAAGGAACUAGUAAAAAAAGAAAAAAAGAAAGAAAGAAAGCUGCCGAUGAAUACAAAAAAUAAAGACAAGAAGGGGUUAAAAGAUUUUUCUACCGGUUUGUUUAAUUUAGAUUCAGGAACUAUGAAGGUGCACUAUAUGCUCAUAUUGUUUAUACACUUUUAAGAUAAGAAUGAGCUGUUCUGUUGGGAUCAUGUGACAGGUUGUUUCAGGAGGUUGGUUUAAGUGGCUUUCUGUUCCUAUAACACAAUACCUGAGAUAGUCAACUUAAAAAGAAAGAAGAUUACACGGAGCUCACAGUUUUGGAGACUCCUCCGAUCCUUGUUGAACUGGCACUGUUGAUUUAGGGCACAGGGUAAAGCCCAGGAUCAUGGUAGGCAAGCACUGUGGAACUGUUCAUCUCAUAGUGACCAGGAAGCACAGAAGAAACCCAUGUUAACAAACAACCCCCUUUGACAUCACACCCUUGGUGACCUAGUCCUCCAAAUAGACCUGGCCUUUCAAAAGUUUCCAUCCCCUCCAGAAAGUAGAAUGUGCACCCUUUAAAGCAGAUGUUGGUCCUGGUCCCAAAUCUGCAUUGAUGAUGACUUGCUCAUGUCAACCCCCCAUUCAGCUCUUCCCUCCCUUGGGCCUCUGUGUUCCUAUCUAUAGGGUAAUCCAGAGGAAUUUUCAGUAAGUCCCCUUAUUGAAGCCAACAUAUGACAUACAUACUUUCCCACAGCUUUAAAAGUAUAGAAGUAAAUAAGAAAGGGACUUUCCGACUGCACUUUGUCGAGCUGGCCUUCUGGUGUCUACGCUGACCAGGCUGUACUGAACUGGAAUUACAUCAUAUGUUCUAUAUAUAGUACUAGUUUUAUCUACUCCCCCUCCCUCCCUCUCCCUCCCUCUCCCUCCCUUUCCCUCCCCUUCCUUCCCCCGCCCUGUCCAAUCUCUCUUGUCUUUGCUACUGAAGGUCUCUCCUUGCCUCUGCCGAGCAGAAAAACCUGGGUCACGGUGAAAUGCCUAUGGCCUGGAGGUAUGGCAGGCCUCCCGAAUAGACAAAUAUGACCCAAAAGGAGACAGUGAGAGGCGCAACAAAACAAACUCCCUGGGAGUGGACACAUCUUCAGAGGCAUGUUGAGCCGUUGUAUUCAGUGCCCCUAACAGAUGUCCCAAGUAGCCAAAGGAAGCUUGCUUCUCACUAGUACGUACAUUAAUGCUGAGUAAUCUGGGUUUUGAUGAUGUAAGGCAUAGAUUGGUUUUGUCUGGCAGAAAUGAACAUUCCCAGAAGGUCAUUCCAGCUUCCUACUGGGAGUCACCUGCUCCUCAUCGUCCUCCCCCAAAGACCCACUCCCACCCCUGCCGCACCCGCAUUCCAUCCCCGUGCCCAAGGCCAAAGAAUCAAAGUCUGUUUCCUUGCCACAGGGAUCAUCUGGUCCCAGCUUCUGUUCAAGGUGCUUGAGAAUAAGCUGCUGGCCCAGGGAAGGGCAGCCAGGGAGACUCCGAGAUGCUGGAGCUCCCUUUGAAUUCAAAGGGCUGAGAGACGAAGAACAAAAGAGCCAAGCUGAAAACUUUGGGAAGCAGGCGCUGGCUCUUGGAACCAGCUUGGUUUUAAGUCAUGGGGAACUUCCUUCCUUCCUUUCUUCCGUCUGUCCUCCCUCCUUUCCUUCCCUAACUAAAAGGACCCUAUGAACAGUUUCUAGUACCUGAACAAUCAUAUCUUCUCCAAGAUGUGAAAUCCUUUAAGUCCCUGCUUCUUUUUUUUUUAAGAAUUUUUUUUAAUUUAUUUUACGCAUAUGAGUACACUGUCGAUGUUUUCAGACACACCAGAAGAGGGCAUCGGAUCUCAUUACAGAUGGUUGUGAGCCACCAUGUGGUUGCUGGGAUUUGAACUCAGGACCUCUGGAAGAGCAGUCAGUGCUCUUAACCGCUGAGCCAUCUCUCCAGCCCGUCGUCCCUGCUUCUUUAAAUGGGCUGUCUCCUUCUGACUUGCUUCCAAGUUGUGUGCUUUUCAGCUGUUAGCUGUCUUGACACCCCAUAAAUCCCUUAAGCUGUCCUCAUUCUUUUCUUCUCUCUGCAGAACUUAUCUGCACCACUUCAAAUGCUAUCUCUGAGCUCACCAGCUCUGUCUUCUGCUUGGUCAAAUAUGCUAUGGGAGGGCUCUGCUGAGUCUUCUUCAGUUUGUUUAUUAAAUGGCUUAAAUAUAUGAGAUUCAUAUGUGUCCGUUAAAAAUAAAUGUACUAAGAAAUUGUGUAAGUGUUUUAAAUAAAUUACAGCAGAAGUUGAACAGGGAAAGGGGUAUCAAAAAAACCCCUACAUACAAAUGCCAACUCCAGGUUACCCAGAGGUUGUGACCAACUGACAAAUUAUCCAUGUUUGCCUUUAUUUUGCUUGAGACGGAGUCUCAAAUGGCUCAGUCUGACCUCAAACUCUAUUUGUAGCCAAGGCUAGUCUUACACUCUCUGCAUUCCUGCCUCUACUUACCCAGUCUGGGAUUCAGGCCUACUCCACCACCCCAGCCUGAUGAGCUGUGUGAAUCUGGGGCCUUGACUGGUGAGGAAGACUCCUGGGAAGGAAGGAGAUGUGGAAAUGGUAGACACCUUGAAUGAGAUGAAACUCUUGACUAAGGUUAGGCCUCACUCAGCAUCUGGUAGGGUUCCAUGGUUUCCAAACCUUAGUCUUUCGGGUUGGGAAGUGAUUCGAUGAUGUGUAUGGCAAAAGAGCAUAUCCCACAUCUGCUUCAAGAGUUCAGAUGCUUCAGCCCUCGUAGAGCUGAGGUGCUGUGUUCAAUUUGUCUCAGUGCCCGAGUUCACUGAGGUCGCAUUCUGAAGGGAGAACCUGUGUGACCUUGAAUGCUUUGUGCUCUCUUUGCUCCCCUGACCUGAAAACUUUGCAACCUGAAACCUGGUAUUUAAAGGGAAAUUGGAGGUCACUUUCUCAAUAUCCUCAAAGAGAUCUGUUUUAAUCCAAUUAUAAGCAACUGUCACACUCUAUGGUUCUGCCAAACAAACUAUACGCACACAGAAGUGUCCCUGAGAAAAUAAGUAUAGUACUUACCUGCUUUAAAGCCCAGGGUAUUUUUUUUACCUUACAGGUUUGGUUUGGUUCUUUAAGGAUCAAGAAAAACAUACCUGGAAAAGAGCUUUAGAAUCAGAAAGCAACUUAACAGUGUUAAUAAGAAAAACACACUGCUAGCGAUUUCGGCUUUUUGCCUCAAGAAGCCUGGGGGUUCUUCAGCUUUUUAACCUCAAUACAUGUGCGUGUUCUUAAAGCCUAAAGCACAAACCACACUGCUGAGUUAGAAAUCUGGAGAUGCUCCCAUCAAGCCCCACCUCUAUUAGCAUUAGUAGGAAAUGAAGGCCCCGAAAGGCCAAGACCACACACACCUACUAGGCUAGUCGAAGAGCUCAGGACCCAUGACCUUCUACCCAGUUGUCCUACACAGCUUUCUCCUACAGGUUGCUCUGAACUUAACUCCAGUGACAUCCACUUUCGAUGAAUAUGACAUAGUCCUUCCGAAAUGGAGCAACCUUGCAAUUUAAAGUGACCUCAGUCACCCUCCCCGAUCCCCACCUCUCACUUCCUUUCUAGCACCUUUCUAGUCUCAUCUGCCUCCUUGCCUCAGUGGAAGUCAUCCCUUCCAGGUGAUGUCCAGUGAGUCCACUCCCGGUUAUUCGUGUUGCCUGGCACCCAAAAUAGGUCCUUAAUGAUGUAGGUUGAAUGACUAUUAGAAAAAUGGAGUUUGGGGUUGGGGAUUUAGCUCAGUGGUAGAGCGCUUGCCUAGCAAGCGCAAGGCCCUGGGUUCGGUCCCCAGCUCCGAAAAAAAGAAAAGAAAAAAAAAAGAAAAAAGAAAAAUGGAGUUUAAUUGAAUUAUUCACACUCGAUGGGCUUGACUCGAGGGCAGGUACCUUCUUUGGUAAGAUUUUGUUUUUCUAAGCCACUUCUUGAGGAAUUUGUAGAGAGCACAGUCGAACUGGAGCG